UUCUCUUUCGCAUUUUCUCGUCAAGGCUUCCCUUUCGCAUAAUCUGGGUGUUUUGACAGUGGUAUGAUAUUGUGAGAGAUACUGAAUCUCUGGCUUCGACGACGUCUUGAACCACAUUUUUUUCAUCGUAUCUGAAAGCCCCACUAGUCUAAGGUAAAGUCCUCACAAAGCCUUCCAAAUCCAUCCCAAUCCCCCAAAAUAUUCAUUUCAAAGCCCCCAUAUUUAUAUUUAUGGCGUUUCCACCUUGAGAUCAGAAGCAGUACAAAUCUUUAUUUGUUACAUUCUACUUAUUUCAUGCUUUGCCCUAGGUGUUUUGGGUUUGGGCCUAUUUGGUUGCUGAGAAAAUUUGGGGAAAAAAAACUUGGGGUUUCAUUUUCAAUUUUUGAAUACAGGGAAACCCAGAAACGGAAAUAAAUUGGUUGCCGAGAAAAUUUGGGAAAAAAAGAAAUAAACUUGGGGUUUCAUUUUCAAUUUUUGAGUAUAGGGAAACCCAUAAACGGAAAUAAAAAAGUCAACUCACCAGGGUUUUUCUUUUGUUUUGUUUUUCAUUUUCUCAUGAACCAAACGGUGGGCAAUUGCGAGGCUUUUCUUUGGCCAAGAGUGGUUUUGUGCUUUGCUUGGGUGGUAGGAAAAAGGAGGUCAAAAUAAAUAGUCGAUGCUCCAACAAAAAACUUAUACAUCUACUUGAUGAUCUAAGUGAUGAAAAGAAGAGUAUAAUUCAACAUAUUGGCUUUGGUGGAUAAUAACUCAUUUCAAUAUAACCCACUGUAGGUUAGACAUAGGACAAGAAAGGCAAUUUCCAAUAACUUGUUCUGAUGUAGGUGAAAUUCUGGGUAUUCCAUAUAUUGGUAGGAGGUUCCUACUUUCACCUACCAAUAGGAAUAAUAGGAUGGAAAACCUAUUAGAUCUUAGAGAUAGACUGAUUUCAAUGGAAGACAUGGGCGAGUUAAAAAAAUUGUUUAUCUUCUUCUCAUGUGCUACAUUACUUUCUCCAACAUCAAAGUUGGAUGGUAGUCAUGAGUUGUGGUGUACUUUGCUUACUGGAGACUUUGACAUCAAUGUUAAUUGGGGCCAAUUUGUACUUGACACAUUGGUUGCUAGAAUUAGACAUUUUCGAUUGGGUAAAGGCUCAUGGUUUAUAGGUUGCCUUAUUUUUUUACAUGUAGAUACCUUUUUUUAUUAAAUGCUAAAGUUUUCC